UACGAAGGGGGCUAGCGUUGCUCGGAAUGACUGGGCGUAAAGGGCGCGUAGGCGGUUUGUACAGUCAGAUGUGAAAUUCCUGGGCUCAACCUGGGGGCUGCAUUUGAUACGUAUGGACUGGAGUGAGGAAGAGGGUCGUGGAAUUCCCAGUGUAGAGGUGAAAUUCGUAGAUAUUGGGAAGAACACCGGUGGCGAAGGCGGCAUCCUGGCCCUGUCCUGACGCUCAGGGGCGAAAGCGUGGGGAGCAAACCGG
rnacentral:rRNA from 1 species